rnacentral:tRNA from 1 species
AUUUAAGUAGUUUAAAAAAAAUUUUGAUUUGUGGUGUCAAAGAUGCGAGAAAUAUCGCCUUAGAUU